rnacentral:rRNA from 1 species
CCUACGGGAGGCAGCAGUGAGGAAUAUUGGACAAUGGGCGCAAGCCUGAUCCAGCCAUGCCGCGUGCAGGAAGACGGUCCUAUGGAUUGUAAACUGCUUUUAUACAGGAAGAAACACCUCUACGUGUAGAGACUUGACGGUACUGUAUGAAUAAGCAUCGGCUAACUCCGUGCCAGCAGCCGCGGUAAUACGGAGGAUGCAAGCGUUAUCCGGAAUCAUUGGGUUUAAAGGGUCCGUAGGCGGUUUAAUAAGUCAGUGGUGAAAGCCCAUCGCUCAACGAUGGAACGGCCAUUGAUACUGUUAAACUUGAAUUAUUAGGAAGUAACUAGAAUAUGUAGUGUAGCGGUGAAAUGCUUAGAGAUUACAUGGAAUACCAAUUGCGAAGGCAGGUUACUACUAAUAUAUUGACGCUGAUGGACGAAAGCGUGGGGAGCGAACAGGAUUAGAUACCCUGGUAGUCCACGCCGUAAACGAUGGAUACUAGCUGUUCGGAGCAAUCUGAGUGGCUAAGCGAAAGUGAUAAGUAUCCCACCUGGGGAGUACGUUCGCAGAAUGAAACUCAAAUGAAUUGACGG